rnacentral:rRNA from 1 species
AAGGAAUAUUGGUCAAUGGACGCAAGUCUGAACCAGCCUUGCCGCGUGAAGGAUGAAGGUCCUCUGGAUUGUAAACUUCUUUUAUCUGGGACGAAAACGGGAUUUUUAUCUCAAUUGACGGUACCAGAGGAAUAAGCACCGGCUAACUCCGUGCCAGCAGCCGCGGUAAUACGGAGGGUGCGAGCGUUAUCCGGAUUUACUGGGUUUAAAGGGUGCGUAGGUGGGCUUAUAAGUCAGUGGUGAAAUCUCCGAGCUUAACUUGGAAACUGCCGUUGAUACUAUAGGUCUUGAAUUAUCUGGAGGUAAGCGGAAUAUGUCAUGUAGCGGUGAAAUGCUUAGAUAUGACAUAGAACACCAAUUGCGAAGGCAGCUUACUACAUAUAAAUUGACGCUGAGGCACGAAAGCGUGGGGAUCAAACA